rnacentral:rRNA from 1 species
CUACGGGUGGCAGCAGUGAGGAAUAUUGGUCAAUGGCCGAGAGGCUGAACCAGCCAUCCCGCGUGCAGGAUGACGGCCCUAUGGGUUGUAAACUGCUUUUCUACGCCAAGAAAUCUGAUUAUGAGUAAUUAGUUGACGGUAGCGUAGGAAUAAGCAUCGGCUAACUCCGUGCCAGCAGCCGCGGUAAUACGGAGGAUGCAAGGGUUAUCCGGAUUCAUUGGGUUUAAAGGGUGCGCAGGCGGGCUUGUAAGUCAGUGGUGAAAUACUGCCGCUUAACGGUAGAACUGCCAUUGAUACUGCAAGUCUUGAAUAUGGUUGAGGUAGGCGGAAUGUGUUGUGUAGCGGUGAAAUGCAUAGAUAUGACACAGAACGCCGAUUGCGAAGGCAGCUUACUAAGCCAUUAUUGACGCUGAGGCACGAAAGCGUGGGGAGCGAACAGGAUUAGAUACCCCCGUAGUC